UUCUGUUAGCUGUUGGAUACGAGAGAAUUAAUUGAUCAAUUGCUUGACAAGCUGCCGCACAGACUGGUAAAUUAAAACUAUGCCCUGUUUGGUGCCAGGCCAGGACGGGAUUUGCUGUACUAGGAGUAGCUUAGGCCGAUCCUUUUAGAACAGUUCCUGAGAUUGAUUUUUAACCCACAGGUUUUGGAGAUCCGGGUACCAGAGGUAGUUCUUCGGUUGAACAUAAAUUCUAAGGCAAGUGCAUUACGAACCUUGUCGCCUUAAUGUUUGAUUGUGUGGCUUGUGUGUUUUUGGUGUGCUUCGUUGUUAUUUGGUAAUUUGAUCCAGUUGUUUCCUUUUAAAGUUGUUGGGCCGCGGGUUGGUAAAUUCCGAACCAAUACUGCCGCAGGUUGGUAAACUCCGAGCCAACGCGCUGGUACUAAGUAAACACCAUGCAUGGGGCCCGGGCGUAGCACACCUAUACUGUUGAGCACAUCACAAUUAUUUAGAUAUUACGAUGUAGACAUAUAUGUUUCUAUACUAUUAGUCGUAUUGUAUUAGUCACUUAAUCCAUGUUACCCUGUGAACAAAUAUAUUUGGAGUCUACCGAUAUGCUGGGAUUUUGUGAAUCACCGUGGUUGUUUUCUUUAAAGUUGAAAUGUCACUACAUAUCCUCU